rnacentral:rRNA from 1 species
CCUACGGGAGGCAGCAGUGGGGAAUAUUUGGCAAUGGGCGAAAGCCUGACCCAGCAACGCCGCGUGAAGGAAGAAGGCUUUCGGGUUGUAAACUUCUUUUGACAGGGAAGAGCAGAAGACGGUACCUGUCGAAUAAGCCACGGCUAACUACGUGCCAGCAGCCGCGGUAAUACGUAGGUGGCAAGCGUUGUCCGGAUUUACUGGGUGGAAAGGGCGUGUAGCCGGGCUGACAAGUCAGAUGUGAAAUCCGGGGGCUCAACCCCCGAACUGCAUUUGAAACUGUUGGUCUUGAGUAUCGGAGAGGCAGGCGGAAUUCCUAGUGUAGCGGUGAAAUGCGUAGAUAUUAGGAGGAACACCAGUGGCGAAGGCGGCCUGCUGGACGACAACUGACGGUGAGGCGCGAAAGCGUGGGGAGCAAACAGGAUUAGAUACCCUUGUAGUC